GUCAAUGUGGCAUAGUGGUUUGAGUACUGGACAUGACUCUAGAACCCAGGGCUCAAAUCCCUGCUUGGGCA